rnacentral:rRNA from 1 species
AGUGAACGCUGGCGGGAGGAAGAACAAAGGCAAGUCGAACGGCAGCACAGUAAGAGCUUGCUCUUACGGGUGGCGAGUGGCGGACGGGUGAGGAAUACAUCGGAAUCUACUUUUUCGUGGGGGAUAACGUAGGGAAACUUACGCUAAUACCGCAUACGACCUACGGGUGAAAGCAGGGGAUCUUCGGACCUUGCGCGAUUGAAUGAGCCGAUGUCGGAUUAGCUAGUUGGCGGGGUAAAGGCCCACCAAGGCGACGAUCCGUAGCUGGUCUGAGAGGAUGCUCAGCCACACUGGAACUGAGACACGGUCCAGACUCCUACGGGAGGCAGCAGUGGGGAAUAUUGGACAAUGGGCGCAAGCCUGAUCCAGCCAUACCGCGUGGGUGAAGAAGGCCUUCGGGUUGUACGUCCCUUUUGUUGGGAAAGAAAAGCAGCAGGUUAAGACCCCGCUGUUCUGACGGUACCCAAAGCAUAAGCCCCCGCUCCCUUCUU